GCCAACUGAUUGGUCAGUUUGGUGUCGGUUUCUAUUCGGCCUUUAUCGUAGCCGAUAAAGUCACGGUUCGAACCCGUGCGGCGGGUGCC
rnacentral:tRNA from 1 species